rnacentral:rRNA from 1 species
GACAGAGGAGCCAAGCGUUGUCCGGAUUGACUGGGCGUAAAGCGCACGCAGGCGGCCCGGCGCGUGGGGUGUGAAAGCUGGCGGCUUAACUGCCAGAUGCCAUCCCAUACGGCUGGGCUCGAGCCCUGCAGAGGUCCAUGGAAUUCCAGGUGUAGCGGUGAAAUGCGUAGAUAUCUGGAGGAACACCGGUGGCGAAGGCGGCGUCCUGGACCAAUACUGACACUGAGGAGCGAAAGCCAGGGGAGCAAACGGG